rnacentral:rRNA from 1 species
UACGUAGGGUGCAAGCGUUUGUCCGGAAUUAUUGGGCGUAAAGAGCUUGUAGGCGGUUUGUCGCGUCUGCUGUGAAAUUUCGGGGCUCAACCCCGAACUUGCAGUGGGUACGGGCAGACUAGAGUGUGGUAGGGGAGACUGGAAUUCCUGGUGUAGCGGUGAAAUGCGCAGAUAUCAGGAGGAACACCGAUGGCGAAGGCAGGUCUCUGGGCCACUACUGACGCUGAGGGGCGAAAGCAUGGGGAGCGAACAGG